rnacentral:rRNA from 1 species
AUUGAACGCUGGCGGCAGGCCUAACACAUGCAAGUCGAGCGGAUGAAGGGAGCUUGCUCCUGGAUUCAGCGGCGGACGGGUGAGUAAUGCCUAGGAAUCUGCCUGGUAGUGGGGGAUAACGUCCGGAAACGGGCGCUAAUACCGCAUACGUCCUGAGGGAGAAAGUGGGGGAUCUUCGGACCUCACGCUAUCAGAUGAGCCUAGGUCGGAUUAGCUAGUUGGUGGGGUAAAGGCCUACCAAGGCGACGAUCCGUAACUGGUCUGAGAGGAUGAUCAGUCACACUGGAACUGAGACACGGUCCAGACUCCUACGGGAGGCAGCAGUGGGGAAGAUUGGACAUUGGGCGAAAGCCUGAUCCAGCCAUGCCGCGUGUGUGAAGAAGGUCUUCGGAUUGUAAAGCAAUUUAAGUUGGGAGGAAGGGCAGUAAGUUAAUACCUUGCUGUUUUGACGUUACCAACAGAAUAAGCACCGGCUAACUUCGU